CCCUUAGAUGUUCGGGGCUGCACACGCGCUACACUGGAGGAAACAGCGUGUAUUGACCUGGUCCGAAAGGACUGGGUAAACCUGUGAAACUUCUCCGUGCUUGGGAUAGCGGAUUGCAAUUGUUUCGCUUCAACGAGGAAUUCCUAGUAAGCGUAAGUCAUAAGCUUGCGCUGAUUACGUCCCUGCCCUUUGUACACACCGCCCGUCGCUACGACCGACUGAACGUUUUAGUGAGCUCCUCGGAUUGUCAGCCUGGCGGUUAAUCCUGCCUGGCUAGCGAAAAGACGAGCAAACUUGAGCGUUUAGAGGAAGUAAAAGUCGUAACA
rnacentral:rRNA from 1 species